rnacentral:misc_RNA from 1 species
GGCUUAGCUCCCUUGGCUAUGAUCAUAUUGAUUCAUGUUUUCAUCCCAUAAUAUAUAAUUUUGUUACAAAGGAAAUAUUCAUAUUAGGAAGCAUGUUAUCAGAUAUUACGAUUGUAGGUUAUGGAAUGUGUCCAUUGUUAUGUUCACUUGGCUGAUUUUCAGAUCAUGAAUAAAUGAUUUCUAAGUCAAUUCUCAUUGGAUAACAGUUAUUUGGAAUGUGCAGUCUAUCAUAUUUCAAAAGCAAUAGCAAUUCAUUACUUUGAAAUUGAUGAUAAAAAAAAAUAGUUUAAGGACAUUUGUUAUUUUUAAUCUAAAUAGUCUUGGGCAGACAGUUUGUCGUCAAUGAUUAAUUUAUCUCUACCAUAUUGAUGAAAGGGUAAAAUGUUGAGAAUGUCAAUCUUAUCAUUAUAUUACUGGUAGAUGAAUUAAACUCACUUCUACAUGAGAAGAACUCAUAUAUUUAAGUAGUGUGCUUAGAUUAGUUGUGAAUGAAUGAAUCUUCUUUGAGUUUUCAUGCAAACUUAAUUGACAAAAACCACAUCUUUGAUCUAACCCAAAAUUUACCUGGAACUAUUAUUACUGCCAAACAUAUGGUAUAUUUAUGAGAAUUCAUCAAAUAUUUUCAUGUAAUAUGGAGGAUUGCUUUGAUGGUUUUCUUAUUAAUGCCUAUGUCUUUAAAAAAGACUUACUGUUUUGUACAUCAUGUUGAAAUGAUUUCAGGUUUCCUGAAUAAAAUUUUUGUGCCGUU